rnacentral:rRNA from 1 species
UGGGGAAUAUUGCACAAUGGGCGCAAGCCUGAUGCAGCAACGCCGCGUGAACGAUGAAGGUCUUCGGAUCGUAAAGUUCUGUUGCAGGGGAAGAUAAUGACGGUACCCUGUGAGGAAGCCCCGGCUAACUACGUGCCAGCAGCCGCGGUAAUACGUAGGGGGCUAGCGUUAUCCGGAUUUACUGGGCGUAAAGGGUGCGUAGGUGGUCUUUCAAGUCGGUGGUUAAAGGCUACGGCUCAACCGUAGUUAGCCUCCGAAACUGGAAGACUUGAGUGCAGGAGAGGAAAGUGGAAUUCCCAGGGUAGCGGUGAAAUGCGUAGAUAUUGGGAGGAACACCAGUAGCGAAGGCGGCUUUCUGGACUGCAACUGACACUGAGGCACGAAAGCGUGGGUAGCAAACGGG